rnacentral:rRNA from 1 species
UACGGAGGGUGCAAGCGUCAUCCGGAUUCACUGGGUUUAAAGGGUGCGUAGGUGGGUCUGUAAGUCAGUGGUGAAAUCUCCGUGCUUAACAUGGAAACUGCCAUUGAUACUAUAGGUCUUGAAUUUUCUGGAGGUAAGCGGAAUAUGUCAUGUAGCGGUGAAAUGCUUAGAUAUGACAUAGAACACCAAUUGCGAAGGCAGCUUGCUACAGGGAUAUUGACACUGAGGCACGAAAGCGUGGGGAUCAAACAGG